AUACUUACAUGGCGUAGGGAUACCGUGAUCAUGCAGGCGGUUCCCCCAGGGUGAGGUUGCUCCAUUGCACUGCAGAGUGGUUGACCCUUGCGAUUAUUUUUAUUUUUUUAUAAGUUUCACUUCUACCGUGUGUGACUUGCACACACACACACACACA
rnacentral:snRNA from 1 species